GUUAUCGCAAAUGGUCAAAACAGAUACAGUGGACCUUAUUAUUACCAAGCUUCUGUACUUUGGAGAUAUUUCAUUUCACACAAGUUACAACUAUGGGGUCAACACAGUACAAAAGCAUGUAAGAAAAUAUCAAGAGCUCAUGACUUUGAAUGAAUGGCCAAGAAACCACAACGACUUUAACUCUUCUCCAAGUCUCUGGCUUGUUUCAUGAUCCACACA
rnacentral:misc_RNA from 1 species